rnacentral:lncRNA from 1 species
AUGAAGUUUUGGAGCGAGACGGAAUUUAAAAUUUUAAUAAUAAAUGAAUAUAUAUUUAAAAUUCAAAAUAAAAAUUUUAAAAUAUUUUAAAAGGAAUUUUCAAAUUUCAGAAUAAAAUUUAUCUAUUUAUUUUAAAUAGUAUAAGGUUGUAGUCAAUUUUAGACACAAGUUGGAUCCAAUUUUUUUAUUUAUCAUAAUAAUAUUGAUUUUGACACCCAUUUCCCAUUAUGGAAUUAAUUUUUUGUCAAAAAAAUUUAAUUAAAAAUUAAAAUGUAUACAUACUUUAUAUAUUUAGUUUUUUUUCAGUGUGCGUGCAUUCUCUUGGCGACAUAUAAAUACAAAUGUAUAUAAAUAUUGACUUAUUUAUUAUUAUAAUUGUUAUAAUAAUAACAUGUAUUUUCUGAAAGUGAGAUUAAUUGUUGAAUUUCAAAUAACUUAUAUAUUUUAAAUUUUAAAAUUAGUGUUUUUUCCGCCAACCCAAAAAUAAGAAGACUUAAAUUGUUGAUUUUUUUUUUUAAUUUAACGAAAUCUUUUGUUUGUCUAAAAAAUAUGUAACCGUUUUGUAUUGUAAUUCAGUUCAUACUAUAGGGCCAAUAAAUUAAAGCUGGCCGAUUGCGUAUUUUGAGAGCAAAUGUUUUGAAAUAUAUUUUGUUUACUU